rnacentral:rRNA from 1 species
CGAAGAAGGUAAAACUUGAUGGCAGCGACACAGCGUGCAGGCAUGAAGUUCUUCGGAAUGUAAACUGCUGUUAUAAGGGAAGAAAAAAUAGAAUAGGAAAUGACUUUAUCUUGAAA